UGUGUAGGCGGUUCUCUAAGUUCGGUGUGAAAUCUCCCGGCUCAACUGGGAGGGUGCGCCGGAAACUGGAGGGCUUGAGUAUGGGAGAGGAAAGCGGAAUUCCUGGUGUAGCGGUGAAAUGCGUAGAUAUCAGGAGGAACACCUGCGGUGUAGACAGCUUUCUGGACCAUCACUGACGCUGAGACACGAAAGCGUGGGUAGCAAACAGGAUUAGAUACCCUGGUAGUCCACGCCCUAAACGAUGCAUACUUGGUGUGAGCCGUUCAGUUCGGUUCGUGCCGGAGCUAACGCGUUAAGUAUGCCGCCUGGGGAGUACGGUCGCAAGGCUAGAA
rnacentral:rRNA from 1 species